rnacentral:lncRNA from 1 species
AGGCAUCUGCUUCAGUCCCCUCCCUCUCUUACCUAUUCGAAGUUUUUGCUUCUUGAUACAGCUCUGUAAUAGUAGUAGCAGUAAUCCUGUUAGACGGUGGAUGCUGUCGAAAGCAGUGGCUGUCGGAUUGAAGUAUUAGUACUGUUGGAGUAGUUUGCAGUUGCUCAACUUAUGUAGAGACAGAAAGACGACAUGGCUUGAAGAAGAAACUGAAAUGCAUUUGGUGUGUAAUGGGCCUCACGAUCCAUUUUUGCUGUGCUCAAGUAGGUGCAAUACAAUAGUUGCAAGGCUUUGAAUCUGAAGGAAAGCUCAUUCUAUGCUUGUGCGAAUCUGGCUGCAAAGUACAAACAUGACGGCUAAUUUAGAAUUCUGCUACUAAAAUGGGGACAUGAGGAGGUUAGUGGAAGCAAUAUUCAGAGUUAUUGUCAGGUUGUUGCAAACUCCGUCGGUAUGCGCAGAGCUUAAUUACUUGCAAGGUGCCCCUCCCUUUAUUAACUUUGGAGCUAGUUAUAUUUUGUUAAAAAAAUAUUUGGGUUAGUCUUAUAUGAUUUCAAAGUCUUGUAUUUGGAUCCUUGAAUAAUGGUUUAGUGCUACCAUAUUACUUUCUACUGCUCAUGGAACAAUGACUUAACUACUUACGAGAAAGUAUUCUUGUUUUCAUGGCCGGCCGCUCAUUAAUCCAUUUCACAAUGGGUGUUUGCUAAAAUUACUCAGCUCUAUACAAAGACAGCCAUGACCAAGUUAGUGAUUAUUUUUCUUACUUGAUUUCCUAGCUUUCAAUGUACAAUGCCAGUAAAAACAGAGGGUUGGCGUUUGUAACCAUGGGUUCAGAAGAGGAGGCUCUUGCAGCUCUCAACAAUCUCAAUUCAACUGUAAGUUUAAGUAUCGCAUAAAGUAUAGCUCACUCUCAGACUCACCCUGCUUACUUACAUCAUUGUUUGUUUCCCUCCAUCCUCAUUUUGAUGUAGACUUUAGAUGAUAGAAAGAUCAAGGUGGACUUUGCGAGACCUAGAAAGAAGCAACCUAAGCAAGUUAAGCAACCUGUUGUGGUAUCAGAUAGCACGGAAAAGUAUAUUCUGUUUGUCGGAAAUUUGACAUGGAGAGUCAGAAAUCGUCACCUUCGCGAACUAUUUGCCUCGGCCCCAGGUGUCCUAUCAGCUGAAGUUAUCUUUCAUACCACUACGCCAAGGCGAUCUGCUGGUUAUGCAUUUGUUUCUUUUUCUUCAAAAGAGGCUGCAGAGGCUGCCAUAUCUUCUUUAAAUGGACA